UACGGAGGGGGCAAGCGUUAUCCGGAUUCACUGGGGUUAAAGGGUGCGUAGGAGGGCAGGUAAGUCAGUGGUGAAAUCUCCGAGCUUAACUUGGAAACUGCCGUUGAUACUAUCUGUCUUGAAUAUUGUGGAGGUGAGCGGAAUAUGUCAUGUAGCGGUGAAAUGCUUAGAUAUGACAUAGGACACCAAUUGCGAAGGCAGCUCGCUACACAUAUAUUGACUCUGAGGCACGAAAGCGUGGGGAUCAAACAGG
rnacentral:rRNA from 1 species